UAAACGCUCAAAAUCACCAAA
rnacentral:piRNA from 1 species